AUUUGUUUUAUUUACCUUACUUUUCACAAAAAUAGUUUCAUCUAGAGGCGGAUCCAGGAUUCUGAGGUACCGGGUGCUAUGCCGUCUAAGUAGAAUUUGUGGAUCGAUUCUUUUAAUUUUGGGUUACAAUUUAGGUUAUUUAUCAUUUUUUUAUUUUAUAAGCAAAUCAAUCAAAUACGUCUAGUGAGUUAAUGUUCUUUUUUUAGAUAUUCUGAGAUAAAAAAACAUCUAAGUAGUUUAAUUUUUUUUUUUUUGAUAUAAGAGGUCUUAUUCUUCAAAACUUUGAGAGAGAAAAAGAUAUUUUUCAUGUUAAAAAUUUAAAUUUAUAUAAACCAUACGAUAGAGUUAUCUUAAUAUAUUCAUAUUCCAUUACCUUUAUAAGUUGAGAGUGUUGUUUCAGAUAUAUAAUUUGAAAGAAUUAAAAAUUAUAGCUUCAACUUAAUCAUCUUCACUUAGUUCAAACAAUCGAAAACUUUAAAUUUUAAUAUCUCUAACAUAAUAAUAUCCAAUUUUAUAGACUUGAACUUUUUUAAAAAAUUUAAUAUGUUCUUAAUAAUAUUUAUGUGACGUUUAAGAUUUAAUACUCACUAAUUCACACAAAUACACAUGAAACACUAGUAUCAAGAGAUUAAUCAAGAGAAAGUUUUAGAAAAGCAAGAAUUACUUAAAGAAAAACAACCCAUUUAAAUUAAUAAAAAAUAGCAAGUAAAUGAAAUUAAUGAAAAAACCUAAAAAGGGGAAUAAAAAGACAACUAAGCCCUUGACAUACAUCUAACGAAAGAUACAAAAAUGAAGUGGUGGUGGCUGAAGUGCUGAACAACUUCCCUUUGUGCAAGCAAGGGAAGGAGGUAAAAAGUACAAUGCUCAUAUUAAUAGGAAUUCGAUCCCUGGUCUACAGGGUAGUAUUCUCUGCCUAUUGCUAGUGACACUAACUGCCACUUUGUACAAGGGGUGGCAAGUAUAUUAUAUAUUCAAUUCUUCUGCGUUAUAUGCAUAUAUAUACAGUGUCUCAACUGAGAUCUGCGGGUGCCGUGCCACCCUCACAAGUACACAUUGAUUCGCCCCUGGUUUCGUCUGCUGAUUUUAUGCACUUGAGAACUAACUGACUUUCAUCACGCAGUGCUGCCCAAACGACUCGAGUAAAGUCAUAGUUACUUCUGCUGAUUCGAAAGUUAGAAUACUUUGUGGAUCCACCAUCAUCUGCAAAUUCAAAGGUAUCCAAAAUGAAGGAGAUGAAUAAAAAAGUGAUUAAGAAAUUGACCUUACUUGAAAGAGAUGAUUGUCCAAAAUGAAGGAGAUGAAGAAAGAAGUGUUGCUUUAAUUAAUAUUAAUCUUUUUGAUUUUGAGUUUUGUAAAACUUAUCACCACUUAAAUUUGAUACUAUGUGGGAAAACUAAUGAUCAUUUGACUUUAACAUUUUGCUUUUGGGUUUAGAUUACUAGUUUGUUAAUUUGAAUUAUAUUAAUGAAAGAUUUUGUUGUGAUGUUU